AACGAACGCUGGCGGCGUGCUUAACACAUGCAAGUCGAACGGAAAGGCCCUGCUUUUGUGGGGUGCUCGAGUGGCGAACGGGUGAGUGACACGUGAGUUACCUGCCAUUGACUUUGAGAUAACUUCAUGAAAAUGGGGCUCAUACCGGAUAGGAGCUCCUGCUGCAUGGUGGGGGUUGGAAAGUUUCGGCGGUUGGGGAUGGACUCGCGGCUUAUCAGCUUGUUGGUUGGGUAGUGGCUUACCAAGGCUUUGACGGGUAGCCGGCCUGAGAGGGUGACCGGCCACAUGGCGACUGGGAUACGGCCCAGACCCCUACGGGACGCAGCGGGGGGGAAUAUGGCACAAUGGGAGGAAGCCUGAUGUAGCAACGCCGCGUGUGGUAAGACGUCCUUGGGUUUGUAAACCGCUUUCGCCUGUGACGAAGCGUGAGUGACGGUAAUCGGUAAAGAAGCACCGGCUAACUACGUG
rnacentral:rRNA from 1 species